rnacentral:rRNA from 1 species
AGGGCACCACCAGGGGUGGAGCCUGCGGCUUAAUUUGACUCAACACGGGGAAACUCACCAGGUCCAGACACAAUGAGGAUUGACAGAUUGAGAGCUCUUUCUUGAUUUUGUGGGUGGUGGUGCAUGGCCGUUCUUAGUUGGUGGAGUGAUUUGUCUGCUUAAUUGCGAUAACGAACGAGACCUUAACCUGCUAAAUAGCCCGUAUUGCUUUGGCAGUACGCCGGCUUCUUAGAGGGACUAUCGGCUCAAGCCGAUGGAAGUUUGAGGCA